rnacentral:rRNA from 1 species
GGCGAACGGGUGAGUAAUGCGUCGGAACGUACCGAGUAAUGGGGGGUAACGCAGCGAAAGUUGUGCUAAUACCGCAUACGCCCUGAGGGGGAAAGUGGGGGAUCGUAAGACCUCACGUUAUUCGAGCGGCCGACGUCUGAUUAGCUAGUUGGUGAGGUAAUGGCUCACCAAGGCGACGAUCAGUAGCGGGUCUGAGAGGAUGAUCCGCCACACUGGGACUGAGACACGGCCCAGACUCCUACGGGAGGCAGCAGUGGGGAAUUUUGGACAAUGGGGGCAACCCUGAUCCAGCCAUUCCGCGUGAGUGAAGAAGGCCUUCGGGUUGUAAAGCUCUUUCAGCAGGAACGAAACGGUAGGGGCUAAUACCCUCUGCUAAUGACGGUACCUGCAGAAGAAGCACCGGCUAACUACGUGCCAGCAGCCGCGGUAAUACGUAGGGUGCGAGCGUUAAUCGGAAUUACUGGGCGUAAAGCGUGCGCAGGCGGAUUGUUAAGCAAGACGUGAAAUCCCCGGGCUUAACCUGGGAAUGGCGUUUUGAACUGGCAGUCUAGAGUGUGUCAGAGGGGGGUGGAAUUCCACGUGUAGCAGUGAAAUGCGUAGAGAUGUGGAGGAACACCAAUGGCGAAGGCAGCCCCCUGGGAUAACACUGACGCUCAUGUACGAAAGCGUGGGUAGCAAACAGGAUUAGAUACCCUGGUAGUCCACGCCCUAAACGAUGUCAACUGGUUGUUGGGGGAGUGAAAUCCCUUAGUAACGAAGCUAACGCGUGAAGUUGACCGCCUGGGGAGUACGGUCGCAAGAUUAAAACUCAAAGGAAUUGACGGGGACCCGCACAAGCGGUGGAUGAUGUGGAUUAAUUCGAUGCAACGCGAAAAACCUUACCUACCCUUGACAUGUCCAGAAUCCUGCAGAGAUGCGGGAGUGCCCGAAAGGGAAUUGGAACACAGGUGCUGCAUGGCUGUCGUCAGCUCGUGUCGUGAGAUGUUGGGUUAAGUCCCGCAACGAGCGCAACCCUUAUCAUUAGUUGCUACGCAAGGGCACUCUAAUGAGACUGCCGGUGACAAACCGGAGGAAGGUGGGGAUGACGUCAAGUCCUCAUGGCCCUUAUGGGUAGGGCUUCACACGUCAUACAAUGGUCGGUACAGAGGGUUGCCAAGCCGCGAGGUGGAGCCAAUCCCAGAAAGCCGAUCGUAGUCCGGAUUGUUCUCUGCAACUCGAGAGCAUGAAGUCGGAAUCGCUAGUAAUCGCGGAUCAGCAUGUCGCGGUGAAUACGUUCCCGGGUCUUGUACACACCGCCCGUCACACCAUGGGAGUGGAAUCUGCCAGAAGUAGGUAGCCUAACCGCAAGGAGGGCGCUUACCACGGUGGGUUUCAUGACUGGGGUGAAGUCGAAACAAGGUA